UAUCUCAUGUCGUGAUUUUACCUGAGAUUAUUUUUGCCAGACCUAGUACCUUUUUUAAUAUCACAAAAUGGAAGAAAGCGACUUUAGCGAUAAUCCAGAUGAGGGUGACGAAAAUCGUGAAGAAGAAUUGGACCCGGACAAUCCAGAACAUGCAUUUGCAAUUAUCGAAAGAGAUUACAACAAGACUGUUGCCGAAUUGGAACAAAACCCGGAGGUCGCCCAUUUCGCCGAAGAUUUCAACAAACUGUUCGAGGCCUUCUUUCAAUCGUUUACCAGGCAAAAGGAAACGGAAGAAGAAAAUGAAGCGUUUUGCAAAUUGAUAGAUAAGAACCAGGAACAAUUGGACGCGGCCUUCAGGCUAGCCGACGAAGAUAAAACGACCAUAGAUACGCUGAAGCAGGAGAUCAACAAGGCUUGGAAACUAGCUGACGCGGCGCACGGCAGGGAGCAGUUGGCUCAAGAAAUCAUAGACAAUUUAAGGGCGCAAGUGGAAAAUUUGAAUAGGGAGAUCGAUUUCAAGAAUAUGAUGAACCAAGACGGUGAAGAAGGGGGGGAAAUGACCAAAAACAAGGAUGGAUUGGAGAGAGAACGCGAUAAGCUGAUAAACGAAGUGACUCAACUGAGUACCAAACUGUACAACGCCCUCAAUUAUCAAGAAGAGUUAGAGAAAAAGAAUUCUGACGCUGAUCUUCGUCUCAACGAGAUAUCAGGACAAUUAGAGGAUCAAGCCGCCGAAAUUCUACGAGGUAAACGUGCCAAAGAAAAACUGGAAAACGACCUGUUGGAAAUUUCGUUCAAAAUAGAAGACAAGGAGGCGGCGUUGCACGAACUGAACGGCGUGAUUUCCGAGCACACCAAGCGCAUCGCUCGACUCGAACAAGAGCUCAAGGAUCAGAAGACGGCGAACGAUAAAAUCCAAAAAGAAAACGAUCAGAACGUCACUAAGUUGGCAAAGCUGCACGACGACCACAACAACAUGAUAUUCGAUUUCGAUAAACUGAAAAAACUGUACCAAUCGAAAAUGGUUGAUAUAAAGGCCGGUGAAGAAGAAGUAAUGCGCUUGAAAAACGACGUGUCCAAAAUAGCCAAGUUGAAGGACGCCCUCGAGAAGAGACUGAUAGUAGUAAAUCAAGAAAAAGACGAAUCUCUGAUGGACAAGAACUCGAUGCGUCAGAGAAUUGCCCUCCUAGAACACGAAAUAGACGACUACAAGCGGUUCGCGAUGGAAGACAAGCGCAUCAUCGAAACGAUAAACAAGGAAAAGGACGUGCUCAACAAAACCAUCCUGAGACAGCAAGUCGUGGCUCGCGACCAGUUGAAGCUUAUACAAAUCCAAGACCAGAGCAAAAAGAAACUCGAACUGGAACUGGACAGUUUCUUCAUCGAAAGCGGUAAGCACAAGAAGCAGAUUCAUCAUUUGGAAGUGGAACGUGAUAGACUCGCGGAAGAACAACAAGACCUGACCAAGACGAUCGAAGACAACCUGGACGACAUUCGCGAAAAGAAGGGCCUCAUUUUCGACCUGAAAAAAACGAUUACCGAGAACGAGAAUCAAAUCAGGCAACAGCAGAACACGUACGAAGCCAUACGUGCCGAUCGUAACGCUUUGCAAAAGUCUGUCCAAGAGGCUACGGCUGAAGGUUGUGAACUGCGUAGGAAGCUGAAGAUUGUGUUCCAUCAAACCGAACAGUUAAAAGAGGACAUUGCGGUGAAGGAAAAACUGCUUAUUAAAGAUGAGAAUAUAAUGAGGAAGAUCGCAAAGGAGAAAGAAAAUCUCAAGAUAGAGGUAAUGUCUGGUAUAAAUCAAAUACGAACGCUAAAGGAAGAUAUCAAAGAGCAAAAAGAAGAAGAAAGACGGUUGCAUAAGACGAUUUUAGACCACGAACGUACCAUUAGGCAGCAGAUUAAAGAUAUCGAACAAUUUAUGAACGAAAGAGAUGUCAUCGGAUCUCAACUCGUAAGAAGAAACGACGAAAUUGCCUUACUGAAUGAAAAAAUAAAGAUCCUUCAAUCUACAUUGUGUAGAGGAGAAACACACUAUGAUCAACGACUUGAAGAUAUUAAGUUGCUAAAGAUCGAGGUGAAAAGACUAAGACAGGAGAAAUUGCUCAUGUCCAAAUCGAUGACGAAUAUGGUCGAUUUCAGGCAGGAAAUCUUCCAUUUAGAACGGGAUUUGACAAAAUCUAGAUUGAAAUGUACCGCUUUGGAACAAGAGAUGCAAAAUCCACUCAACAUACAUAGAUGGAGGAAGUUGGAAGGCUCCGACCCUGAAGUUCUGGACCUGUUACAGAAAAUAAAGAUUUUGCAAAAGAGACUUAUUAAUCAAGCGACUCAGGCAGUUGAAAAGGAAAGGCAAUUGAAAGAGGCAGAACGACUUUACUUAAAUUUAAGAAAAGUAGUAGCAAAACAGCCUGGGCCAGGGCUACAAGAUCAGUUGACGAAAACUCAGAGAGCACUCAAAGCGAGAAGUGAUAGAUUAAAGUGCAUGGUAUCAGAAUUAAACAUGACCGAAUUAAAAUCUGCCGAAUAUAAAGCCGAUUUGCAAAAAGUUACCGAACAAUUGGCGGAACUUAAAAGAAAAUAUUUAGAAGAGAAGAAAGCCAAUAGGGCAAAACGUGCCGCUGCUGAACCAAACCGGGAAAACAGCAGCCAGAUCCACGCAAACGCAGUUCGUUUCUCCGGUGGCGGGUUUCGAAUGACAGUGCCGGAAAUCGCUACAAAAUAAUCCGCUGUGACCCACAACAAAUAGUGUUAAAUGUAAAACUCUGUCUAAAACUGUUUGCCAUAAUCCGCCGAACACGUAGGUUAGUCCAAAAUGUCAAAGGUUUUGGAGGUUUGUGUUGAUAGUUUGGAGUCCGCAGUUGCCGCUCUUAACGGCGGGGCCGAUCGUCUCGAGUUAUGCUCCUCGCUCAUAGAGGGCGGA
rnacentral:misc_RNA from 1 species